GGCCUAACCUUAGGGAAGGAUGCUCCGAGGGUGUGGUUAGCGAUUGGGGUGAAGUCGUAACAAGGUAUCCGUACGGGAACGUGCGGAUGGAUCACCUCUUUCUAAGGAGUAUUCUUGUUGUUCUUUCUUCUUUGGAAGGGUUCGCGCAUGGACCUUGGAAACUGUAUAGUAGAUCAAAAAACAAACAAGAAUAAAGAACAAAGAACUCUAGUUUCUAGAGUUAGCUGUCAAAGAAAAAACAAGAUUAAGUACAAAGGGCACACAAGGGAUGCCUAGGUAGAAAGAGCCAAAGAAGGACGUGGAAGCUGCAUAAGCUUGGCAAAGUUGCAACAACGUGAUGCCUGGGCAGUCAGAAUUCG
rnacentral:misc_RNA from 1 species